UAAUCGAAUCUCCCGUCAUUAGUACGGAAUUUUCUUCCGUGUCAGAUCAGAGAUAAAUCAAGAUAUCACUGCCUAUAUCAACACAUCUUUCAAUCGAACACGACGGCAUGGCAUUGUUGGUGAGAUUUUAAGUGUACCUUGGAAUUGGAUUUUCCCCCGCGGCGCGGUAAGGGUGUGAUUUCUGAAAAUUUAUCGCAUUGUGAAGACCAGUUUUGAUGGAUUUAUUGUGAUACCGUUUAACCUGGAUUAGCCUGCCCAAUAUUAACACAUUUUUGAAUUGAACACGGUGGCAUGACACUGUUGGUGAGGUUUCAAGUGCAACUGGUAGAAUUGGAUUUUCUUUCGUUGUGCGGUGCAACGUGAUUUGUGAAAAUUUAUUGCAUUUUGAAGACCAGUUUUGAUGGAUUUAUUGUGAUAGCGUUUAACCUGGGGAUCAGGCCCAAAUAGAAAAUUGCUCCUUAGUUGAAUAGUGCGAAAAUACCUUACCUCCUAAUUUGACUGCUACUCCGCAAGGCUUAGAAAGCCAAGUGGAGAUAUACACAAAAGUAUAUUCGUGACUAAUGAUAUCUAAACCGCCAAAUACUGCCACUUUUUGCAAUUUGCGAGAACGUCUGAAAAUAUGAACAGCUUUCAGUUGUUUAAUGGCGGAUUGCGAGUUAAAUUUCUCUCCUUUUUCUAAUCAAAAACGUUGAUAUCAACAAAAAUCAGGAUCAUUCGCUACAUGCGCAAAAAUAAAGCGCUCGCAAAGAUUUGUUCACAAACGGUUGGUUUACAGUAUACUAUUAGCACUUGUGAAAUUACCAUGGCGUUUUACGGCAAUUGGCAUUGACUGAUCGGAUUAGAUAUCUGUCAUCGUCGCCUUGUUGGCGAGGUGUCACACAGGUAGAGAGCGAAUACGGAAAAAUGGUGCAGCGAACGGGAGGUGCGGCCGUGGUGUUGGUAGCAGUGGUUGCGGCAGUACUCACAGCAGGGGACGACUACGACGAAGAAGAUGAAGAGGAAGAUGACCUUGAAGAUGACCUUCAUCACUACAGACCUAGCACGUAUGCUCCACCAGUCUCACCGGAACCGGAUAUCAACACCAAGCAGUACAAGGGCGAGACUUUAUCCGAGGAAAACAAAGCCGAGGCAAAGGAGUAUGAGACUAAUGACAUCACAGGGAAACAUGAUUACGACAAAGAUAAAUACACAGAUACCGAUGACGAAUAUGACAGGUAUGAAGCAGAUGGAAAGGGAAAAUAUGAUGACACUGAUGUCGAUAAAGAAAAGUACACUAAAACUGAUGGCGUUGGUGAAAAGUUUCCAAAAACUGAUGGCAACGUUAACAAAUAUGGCCGAAAGGGCACCGAUGUGGAUUAUGUUGAUGAGUAUAUUGAUGGCUUGAUGGAGAUGGAAUCGGAUGAUAAUGCCUUGGCGGGGACAUCGGUGGGCGAAGGCGAUAAAUCCACUUCAGGGAGAGACAGAGUAAUAAUCGUACAUAAAGGCAGCAAAGGUGACGACGGUGACAUUGCACCUGAGACUGGCACAGAGUCAGCACCUCUACAGAAGGGAAUCCCCGAGAAGGCGGCAAAGGUUAUUCAGGGGUCGGGUGCGUCGCAGCCAAGGCAGUUUUUGUGGGUUCAAGCUUCCUUGGUGUUAGUGGUGGUUGUGUGGGGGAUUAUUUGUUAGCUGAUCAAUCUGCAACAACUGAAAUUCGUUUAUACACCGGUACCAAAUUGAGAGACAUUUGUAUCUAUAUACACUUUUAAAUUGGAUAUUUAUUUCACAGGAGGGGAGUUUUGAAAUGUGAUAGUUCUCAAAUAUACAUUCAUACAAAGUUGAUACUUGAUUUAAAACUAGCAAACCGUUGAUAAGUCUUCGGUUAACGUCAAGGAAAUAAUCAAAAAUAUGAAAUCAAUAUAUCAACACCUGGAUACAUCAAAGUGUAUUUAAGAAUUAAAAGACGAGCUUAUCAAAAGAUCAUGGAGCAAAAUUAAAGCCAUGCUGAAUGCAUGCUAAUAAUAAGUUAAGGUUAAUGCAAAAGUUAAGGGAUGAAUGAUAGAAAAAUUUAAAUGAAAGCUAGAUUAGGCAAUAGAUAUAUUGACACAAAUUAUAGGACAUCAAUGAAGAUUUAUAAUAUGAAGGCACAUUAUACAAUUAAUAGUACUUUUAAACAAAACUGAAUAAUUGCACGCUUGAUACAAUAGGACAGUUAUUCUACUGACGACAAUUAAGUAAUAUACAUGUAGUAAUUAAAUGUGUUUGUGAUAAUAACAGACGAAUAUCCGUACUGUGCCGUACAUAUGAUAAAGUUUAUUGAACUCUAAAAAAAUAUUUGUUUAUCAUCGAUGUUUAUAGGCACCAUUUAAACCAGAUAGACAUUUCUAAAUACUUUUUAUGAUUUACAAAUCCAUUUUAAAAUUUUCUUAUACAACAAGAAUGUGCUUCUUGCGCCAUGACAAAAAGGCGACACCAUUUCAUCAACGUGAUAUAUUGCAAAAGAAUAAUUAUUGGUAAAACAGAAGAAUUAUUAAGUAGAGAAAGUUGUGACAGGUUCUUAAACAUUAUCAGAAUGCAUUUAUUUAUUUAUUUUUGUGAGUUGUUUUAUUAUAAUUAGAUUAAGGAUAAUAAAUAAUUGCAUACCAUUAUCUGCUGAUAAAAUCAAAUAUUGUUGUAUACUGUGCCGUUUUAAAAGUUUAAGGAAAUCUAUGUUGUCAGUUCAUUAUUAAGACAGCCUUAAAAUGUGAUUAUGUAUCAACGAUAUACGCGGGGAAUAGUGUAUAAUAACGUCAGUGUAGCACAAGUGUAAUGUUCUUUGGGUGGAAUAACGCGUAAGUUAAUGGGGACUUACACAGAAGGUGUCGCUCUUCUGGAACAUGCAAGUUCUACCGUUCCCCAAACCGUGUGGGAGAACGGAGACUCAAAAACGCUUCACUUGGUUCACUUGGUGUCUGGUGGCACGGAAAUUUUCUCAUAUCCAGAAGAACGUGGUCAUAGAUCUGCCUAAGUGGCCCGUAACUAUCAUAAACAGCGCACUUAGUGCCUGACCAAGAUGACAGAUAUCUCACCCAUUAUCUAUUUGGUGACGUCAGGGUACACGUUUUGCAUUUAACAUCGUACCUGCAAAAAAAACGGGUGUGAAUCAUCCAUUCGUUUCUGCAUGCUGGAAGCACAACAAUGAUAUGGCUAUAUCUGACACAAACGCAAUCUCCCUCAUAGAAAGCAGAUUCUUUGCAAACAGUUUACAAUUCAGUUGAACUUUCUAAGGUAAAUUCGGUUAGAAAAGGCGCAUUUGACAUCUAAUGAGGCAUGAACCAAACGUUAGAUUUGGCAACUAGAGGAUGAAUUGAAUGAUGGAUGGUGACGACUCAGCUGAUUGAAUCGAAGGAUGUUUGACAAUUUGAUUUAACGCGUUUCGCGUUGUUAACUUAAAUGCGAUACACAUCUACUGAACAUUUGCCAUAGAUUUGCCAGAUGCAAACGCGUCGAAACAACUAUAUAUUGAAAAGGAAAUAGGUACAGUUUUAUGAGCUAUGUCAUAUGUCAUGAACAUCUGAUACUUUAAAAAAAGUGACACGAAAUAUAACUGACGCAUAAGAAUUUUUAAAGACUCAACCCUUUUCUAUUUCUCAGAGAUUGGGGCUGAAAUACGGAUAAUGGGAAAACUGAAGUAAAAUCAGUUGUUCCUAGUUCUGUGUUAUUCUUGGGAAGUUUCUGACAAUACACGCCGUCGUUGAACAGCCAAUAAUAAUCGAACAAAUAUUCUACUGGGAAAUACAGGAAGUGCACAGCUAAUGGAUUACAUGUUCGAGUUGCUUUGAUAAAAACUUCCACCAUUGACUGUUUUUAGGCGACCAAGCAAAACAUUCCAUAUAGGCAUGAACAACGUUUCUAUGAAAAAGUAACCUUAUUAGCUCCACAUAAAACAGGAAUAGGAAAAAUCAAUGUGGUUAAUGUGGUAUAUAUUUUUUGACAAACUUCCAUCAAUGAGAAUACAGGAUGAAUAGAUCUGAAACACAGGUCGCCUUGAACUUUCCAUCACCCCGAAUCUGAUUGGAUGUAAAAGUCACCAUGCUCUGACGUCAGGGAGGAUCAACCAAUGGGAAUCUAGCAACAAGCUAAGAUCGAAAAGAAAAAGACGAUGUCACGUUCUGCAUCCUCAGCGUCGAUGACACGAAAAAAGGUAAAUCCGCUGCCAACACCCAAAAGGUCGCUUUCUUCGCGGGCCUCAAAGACAA